GGGCUUCUGGAAGGAGUGAGGGGAAUGGGCCCUUCAGCCCUUACAAUAAUAUACUUGAUAUCUUAGAUUGACUUAUAAAGUUUUUGUAUACCCGUUUGAAAGCAAACAGUCUCAAUCAAGUAUUUGCUCAAGAUUAUUGAAACUGGAGAGAAUGUCCGCCUGCAGUACCGUUCUCUUAGGAAGCUCUUAACAGCGGACCAGUGUCCCCCACAACCAAUUCAAAAUAGUAGCUCUUAAAAUGGAUUUAUUAUUAUAGGUUUUCUUUCUUUUUUCCUCCACCAGAAAAAAAAAAGAGAGAAACUUUUGUAGUGUUUGAAGCAAAGAAUGACUUGUCUGGUCUUGAUCUGUGAUUGUAAAGAGGUAAUAUGACUGGUCCGGCUCCUUACAGCGCGUGAUAGAGGUUUAUGUAACUUUUGAUGUAUCAACGAGGUUAUUUGUGUAGAUGGUAAUGCUAGGUCGGCUUAUAAGUAUUGUAAAGAAAGCAGGCAAAGAUAAAUUAGACAGAAUGUAAAUUGUAGCUGUUAUUGAAAUGGAUCAUAAGUUUAAUUUUUUGUUGCCA